rnacentral:misc_RNA from 1 species
AAGUCGUAACAAGGUUUCCGUAGGUGAACCUGCGGAAGGAUCAUUAACACGUAUCCAACGUUAAAAACCCCGUGCAUUUUAACCCUGCUCUCCUCACCUCAACAAGCAAUCUCUGGUAAAUCACACCAAACAGUUUGAUUCAGAGACCUCUUGAAGACGUGUGGAUGGAGCGGUAGAGCAAAUAGACUUGGUUUCCGAAAGGAUAACUGAUACUUACUCAGAUCGUUGACCCUCACGGGCUUGCAAACUACAGGCCCACAAAACGAACAACUGUUAACAAUGGAUAUCUUGGUUCUC